AGGGUCGCUGCAUAAGUUUCUGGCCUAACCUAUUUCUAGUGUUUUCAGAUGCAAUCUGACGAUUCCAUCGGAAAGUUUGACAUUUUUUAGGCUAAAAAACACUAUAGCAGGGAUUGUUUUACAUUACUGGGUGUGUCUAAGCCUCCUUUCCAAGGGAUACCUGGAAAAAUCGUUUCGCACAGCAUCAAUGUGUUCCGGCGUUACAGCUGAUAUUUUACGACUUUCCUGCGGACUCAUUUUUGAGUGAGCUUCGUCAACAUUUAAAAUCGUUAUAUCACCUCUAAAUACUUGGAAUGGACCGAGUUUUAUCACCCAAAGCGAAUUUGAGGCUAUCACGGCACUCUUGUUGAGUUAGUCCCUCUCAAAAAUCGGAAAAAAUCAUUGCACUAAAAUGUUUGCGGAAAAAUUCAAUUUUUUCAUCAAAUUGAAAUAUUCAAGCUCAUAAAACACCACGAUCCGUAGUGAAUCAACAGUUGACGUCUGAGGAAA